UUUGUCAAGUGGUUUCAGAUUCUUCAAUCAGGGUCCUGAAGUUAACCUGGGGACACUGAGUGAAGGCUGUAAUUGCAAAGAUGUUUUCACAUGGGUGAAUUGGAAGCACUAUCGAUGAAAAGCAAACGACGGAAUAGGGCCCUGGAUUGCUGUGGCUGAAUGGAAGGGAAAAUGAAACAAGCUGAAGACUAUAGGAUGUCAACUGUGAAUAUAUCAAGCAACUCACAAGCUACCAUAUUGAUGUGACAUGAUGAAGUGGGAAGGAAAGCCAUCUGGAGUUUCACUGGUGAAUUGAUACAUCUUGCACUUACCAUUGUGUAUCCCCCGGACUUUGAUCAAAUGGACAUGGGCCUUCUGAUCUGCAGAGUGCCUGGAAAUUAAGAGACACAACAAAGAGGAAGACUCCUUGACUAGUGAUCAUCACCAUCAUCAUCAUCAUCAUCAUCAUCAUCAUCAUCAUCAUGGAAUCAAAGGAGAUCAUUUUGGAGCUUUAGGAUUUGACUGCCCUGGCCAUG